rnacentral:rRNA from 1 species
UACGUAGGGUGCAAGCGUUAAUCGGAAUUACUGGGCGUAAAGCGUGCGCAGGCGGUUAUGUAAGACAGUUGUGAAAUCCCCGGGCUCAACCUGGGAAUUGCAUUCGAGACUGCAUGGCUAGGGUGCGGAAGAGGGAAGCGGAAUUUCCGGUGUAGCGGUGAAAUGCGUAGAUAUCGGAAGGAACACCAGUGGCGAAAGCGGCUUCCUGGUC